UAGAUGCAUAUCUUUUAGUGUUGGAGAUAGGGCUUCCAAGGAGGGUAAAGAGGCUCUGCGUCAGGUCGAUCCUUUUGCAAGCUUGACUUACCAAUAAGCCAAGACCUCUAGAGCCAUUACUAGUGCAGGUUCGACAUAUGCUAAAGAGAUUGUGGAGCAAUAAAGAUGAUAUUUCCUGCAGGAGAUGACGAUGCAUUGGUUGUAGCAAAAGCUCAAGCCGUGGUGUUGCUACACCAGAAAGAAGCAGAGUUACUAAGUCCCAUUAGCCAAGGUUCCCAAAGAAAGAACAAGCUUAAAUACUCAGAAAAGGAAAAGCAUCAUAAACCCGUAAGUUGAUGCUGCUGCUACUACUUUGUCUUCUCCGAGGCAAAGGAUUUAGACACUUCCAAUGUGUGUUCUAGUGGUUUAUCUCUCAUGAAUUACUGAUUUUCCAUUUUUGGAUGCUUGAAGACAGCUUCUGGUGUACUCUCCAUAAAUAGAUAUUUAGACAACUCUACCCGUGGAAAAGCCUAGGUAAUUUUAAAGGGUUUUAACCAUAGUCAACAUGGCAUUUCGUAGCCUAUAUACAGUCGGAGUUUUUGUUACUCCUUUGAGCU